UACGGAAGGGUGCAAGCGUUACUCGGAAUUACUGGGCGUAAAGCGUGCGUAGGUGGUUGUUUAAGUCUGCUGUGAAAGCCCUGGGCUCAACCUGGGAAUUGCAGUGGAUACUGGGCGACUAGAGUGUGGUAGAGGAUAGUGGAAUUCGGUGUAGCAGUGAAAUGCGUAGAGAUCGGAAGGAACAUCUGUGGCGAAGGCGAACUACCUGGGCCAACACUGACGCUGAGGAGCGAAAGCCAGGGGAAGCAAACGGGG
rnacentral:rRNA from 1 species